rnacentral:pre_miRNA from 12 species
GACCGCAUGGGAUAAUUGAUUAUCCCAUGCAGUCGACUUAACACAACUACACGGGAUAAUCGAUUAUCCUAUUUGGUU